ACACAGGCCUGUAGAGCGUCCCUCUGCUGUAAGCUGAACUCACCACAGUGAGAGAAGCUUCCAGGAGCUGCUGUGUGUGAACUCGGAGACCUGUGAGCUGAGCCAGUAAGGACGUGCGGUCAGUGACUGUGAACCAGUGGACAUUCAGGCUGCUGCACUGUGUGACUGCUAUGGACAAGCUGGUGUCCGAAUCGUGGUUUGGACACAGGAAGUCCAUCAGGUCUCCUCCAGGGUAGAACGUCCUCACACGUCCCUGCAGCCCUGAAACUGCGUGAGUUACCGUGGAGACUGAUUGAGGAGCCAGCUCAGGUGCUGCCAGCCAUCGCGGACCAACAGGGCGUGGACUGGAAAUGUUACCUGAGGAGAGUUUGUAGAUGUUUUACUGACUCAUUGUAACAUCUUCACAUUCAUAUUGGAACCAUUGGAACU